rnacentral:tRNA from 1 species
GCGUUCAUAGCUCAGUUGGUUAGAGCACCACCUUGACAUGUUGGGGGUCGUUGGUUCGAGUCCAAUUGAACGCACCA